GGAUGUGAGGGCGAUCUGGCUGCGACAUCUGUUACCCCAUUGAUCGCCAGGGUUGAUUCGGCUGAUCUGGCUGGCUAGGCGGGUGUCCCCUUCCUCCCUCACCGCUCCAUGUGCGUCCCUCCCGAAGCUGCGCGCUCGGUCGAAGAGGACGACCAUCCCCGAUAGAGGAGGACCGUUCUUUGGUCAAGGGUAUACGAGUAGCUGCGCUCCCCUGCUAAAAACACUGAUUUAAAUGGUCCACCUUGGAGACUGAGUUUUCAGAUAAUCCUUUGGU
ensembl:misc_RNA 7SK 7SK RNA